rnacentral:tRNA from 2 species
GCCGGAGUGGUGGAACUUGGCAGACACACCAUCUUGAGGGGGUGGCGCUCGAAACGAGUGUGCGGGUUCGAAUCCCGCCUCCGGCACCA